rnacentral:rRNA from 1 species
UACGUAGGGGUCUAGCGUUGUCCGGAAUUAUUGGGCGUAAAGAGCUCGUAGGCGGUUCGGCAAGUCGGAUGUGAAAUCUCCACGCUUAACGUGGAGGGGCCAUUCGAAACUGCCGUGACUCGAGUCCGGUAGGGGAGUGCGGAAUUCCCGGUGUAGCGGUGAAAUGCGCAGAUAUCGGGAGGAACACCAAUGGCGAAGGCAGCUCGCUGGGACGGUACUGACGCUGAGACGCGAAAGCGUGGGGAGCGAACAGG